CCUCCUUUUUAAGAGAACCUAUGACUACGGCUGAUAUGAGCCCCUUCACAAAUUACCUGACAAACGCAAUGCAGAGCAAAUUAGCUUAGCAGUAUCAUUGGGUCUGUAGCUCAGUUGGUUAGAGCGCACCCCUGAUAAGGGUGAGGUCGGAAGUUCAAGUCCUCCCAGACCCACCACACUAAAGAGUUAAUUCUCUUAAGACUUAACAAUUAAGAAGUUUCGUUUUAAGAUGUUCCUACUAUACUGGUAUACUGGGGCCAUAGCUCAGCUGGGAGAGCGCCUGCUUUGCACGCAGGAGGUCGGCGGUUCGAUCCCGCCUGGCUCCACCAUAGAAUUAUUAAUAAAGGAUAAAGAAUAUUUGGCUUUAUGUUCUCUUAAUGACUUUGUGUCAUUAGUGUGAUCUUUAACAACUAGAAUUUAGUUUAAACUCAAACUCUAAACUAAGAGUUUGAGACACUGUAUUUUUAUGAGUUAACUCAAUGUUAAUGGGAGCAUAUACGAUUAUACAAGAGUUAUUUGAUGUUAUAUGA
rnacentral:tRNA from 1 species